CUUGACGACCAUAGAGCGUUGGAACCACCUGAUCCCAUUCCGAACUCAGAAGUGAAACGAUGCAUCGCCGAUGGUAGUGUGGGGUUUCCCCAUGUGAGAGUAGGUCA
rnacentral:rRNA from 1 species